rnacentral:rRNA from 1 species
AUUGAACGCUGGCGGCAUGCUUUACACAUGCAAGUCGAACGGCAGCGCGGGCUUCGGCCUGGCGGCGAGUGGCGAACGGGUGAGUAAUGCAUCGGAACGUGCCCAGUAGUGGGGGAUAGCCCGGCGAAAGCCGGAUUAAUACCGCAUACGACCUGAGGGUGAAAGCGGUGGACCGAAAGGCCUCGCGCUAUUGGAGCGGCCGAUGUCGGAUUAGCUAGUUGGUGGGGUAAAGGCUUACCAAGGCGACGAUCCGUAGCUGGUCUGAGAGGACGACCAGCCACACUGGGACUGAGACACGGCCCAGACUCCUACGGGAGGCAGCAGUGGGGAAUUUUGGACAAUGGGGGCAACCCUGAUCCAGCCAUGCCGCGUGCGGGAAGAAGGCCUUCGGGUUGUAAACCGCUUUUGUUCGGGAAGAAAUCCUCUGGGCUAAUACCCCGGGGGGAUGACGGUACCGGAAGAAUAAGCACCGGCUAACUACGUG